rnacentral:rRNA from 1 species
AGGACGAACGCUGGCGGCGUGCUUAACACAUGCAAGUCGAACGGUGACCUCGGAGCUUGCUCCGGGCGAUCAGUGGCGAACGGGUGAGUAACACGUGAGUAACCUGCCCCAGACUCUGGGAUAACCCCGGGAAACCGGAGCUAAUACCGGAUACGACACGAAGAGGCAUCUCUAUCGUGUGGAAAGUUUUUUCGGUCUGGGAUGGACUCGCGGCCUAUCAGCUAGUUGGUGAGGUAACGGCUCACCAAGGCGACGACGGGUAGCCGGCCUGAGAGGGCGACCGGCCACACUGGGACUGAGACACGGCCCAGACUCCUACGGGAGGCAGCAGUGGGGAAUAUUGCACAAUGGGCGAAAGCCUGAUGCCAGCGACGCCGCGUGGGGGAUGACGGCCUUCGGGUUGUAAACCCCUUUCAGCAGGGAAGAAGCGAAAGUGACGGUACCUGCAGAAGAAGCACCGGCUAACUACGUGCCAGCAGCCGC